UUCACUUACUCUGAAGCUUGCAAAUAUAUAUAUCCUCAGAUUUAAUUUUUCUGUCAAAAAUGCAUCUACAAUUGAGACGUUUAAAAACAGCUAGAAAAGAACUACCAACUCUACUAAAAGUUCAGAAAAAUGAAACACACAUUACUAUCUACAUUCAUGGAAUUUGUCUCACACUCAAAAGGUUAACAGACAAGUAUAAUCAAACACCAGUAGGAAAAUAUAAGGAAUCCUUUUGAAGUUUGCAGAGAACAGCAAGCACUGUUCUCUGAAGAGGUAUGGUACACAGUGGUGCUAAUGCAUUUGGUUCAAAAUUUACACAAACUGAAUUAGGUUUUAUCUUUAAGAUGCAGAAAUUAAUCUGAACAAAUUAAUAAGUAAAUGUAAACAUUAUGUUUUUAGAACAUUAGAAAGCUAGGGAAUGUAACAAUAGUUACCAAGAAAAAAUAUAUAUGUAAACAUGGAAAACAUGUUUUUUAAAAAGGGCAUUUUAGGGCAGUGAAAAUACUCUUUGAGGUGAUUGUGAUCAUACGGGUCAUUGUACAUUUAUCAAACCCUUAGAAUGUCCAACACCAAGUGUGAAUCCUAAGGUAAACUGUGGAAUUUGGGUAACUGUGUCAGUGAAGGUUCAUCCUGGUAGAAAAUGCACCAUUGUGGUGAGUGACAUUGAUAAUGGGGGAAGCUCUGCAUGUGUGGGAGCCGGGAGUAUUUGGAAAAUGUGAGUACCUCCCUUUCAUUAUUUGUGUAAAGCUAAAGCUGCUCUAAAAAUACAAAGUCCUUUAAAAAGGGGGGGGGGCAUUAGAAGUUCAGAAAUGAAACAAGCUUCAGUUUUCUCUUCAGGAAAAUUUGAAAGAGCACAGAAGUAUCAUUUAAGUAUUUUCCUGUUAGAGAAAGAAUAGCAUUAUAAGAAAGUAAACAAAUAUACUAUUUUGAGAAAUGUAAUAUGCUUAUGUCUUUGCAUUUCCUUGUGAAUAGUUGUUUCCUUAGGCAGACUUGGGAUCUUGGGGGUGAUUAUGAGAGCCACAGCAGAGAAGUCAAGAAAGAGUGAGAACUUCCCAAAGGCAGUAUGCAGACAGACAGUAGUCUUGACAGCCAGACUUUGAGAGGAUUUCCUAAAAUCCCUCAUUUCUCCCUUUAAAAUUUCUAGAAACUGGCUUAGCAAGAUUGAUCAUAGAGUUUUGGGGAAACAAAAAAGGUUUUAGCCAUAAAGAAAGAAGAAGAAAGAAAAUCUUGCCCUGUGGUGCCAAGGGUUGAUGGGAAGAGAAAAGGAGGGGCAGGUAGAAGAAGGCAGAGACACACAUGGCUAGAUAUCUCUUUUCCAGACUGAAGUCCUAAUGGGGAAAGUGUGUGAAAUAAAACAAGAUGCCCCAAAGUCUCUCAUUAAUCCGGGCCAGAUGGAUCAGGUGAACUUGGUGUUGGGGAGACAACCUGAGUCUGGCUUCCUCUUUCACCUGCUUCUUCUGUGUCACAGAUAGAAUCUACAGUGCCUGUUGUCCCUGACGAGGACAUGCACAAUCCUUCCUACCUUGUAGGUGCAUAUGAUGAAAACAAUCCAGGUGUCACCAAGAAAUAAAGAGGCCAUGGUUUCUUUUCAAAUCUGAGGAUAGAGAGAGCACUAGCAGGAGAGGGGCAGCAAGAG